rnacentral:lncRNA from 1 species
ACCUCCUGGCCAUGGGGGACGUGCUGUCCACGCACCUGGACGACGCCCGGCGCCAGCACAUCGCAGGUCAGAGGAGCACCAGCCUAUGGCCCUGGACCCCUGGGGUAUUCAGCGAGUUCCUGGAGGACGGUGGGAUGGGGCUGUGGUUCCAGCAAGAAAAAACCGGGAAGAUCCUGACGGAGUUCCUCCAGUUCUAUGAAGACCAGUAUGCCCUGGUCUCUGGCGCAUCUCUUCCCUCUUGUCCCGAAGAUCUGCGCCUCUAGUGCCUUUUGAGGGGUUCCCAUCAUCCCUCCCUGAUAUUGUAUUGAAAAUAUUAUGCACACUGUUCAUGCUUCUACUAAUCAAUAAACGCUUUAUUUAAA